UAACAAUAGUAGAUACUUACAUUCAGUUUCGGCCUGAAAGAGGGGGGUAACCCUUGUUAA
rnacentral:tRNA from 1 species